UUGGAGGGCAAGUCUGGUGCCAGCAGCCGCGGUAAUUCCAGCUCCAAUAGCGUAUAUUAAAGUUGCUGCAGUUAAAAAGCUCGUAGUUGAAUUUCGGGACCAUCAUGUCGGUCGUGCCUCGGUACGUACUGGCAUUGUUGGUUUCUCCCUUCUGACGAACCAUGAUGUCAUUUAUUUGGUGUUGUGGGGAAUCAGGACUGUUACUUUGAAAAAAUUAGAGUGUUUAAAGCAGGCUCACGCUUGAAUACAUUAGCAUGGAAUAAUGAAAUAGGACGUUUGAUUCUAUUUUGUUGGUUUCUAGGAUCGACGUAAUGAUUAAUAGGGAUAGUUGGGGGCAUCAGUAUUCAAUUGUCAGAGGUGAAAUUCUUGGAUUUAUUGAAGACUAACUACUGCGAAAGCAUUUGCCAAGGAUGUUUUCAUUAAUCAAGAACGAAAGUUAGGGGAUCGAAGACGAUCAGAUACCGUCGUAGUCUUAACCAUAAACUAUGCCGACUAGGGAUCGGAUGAUGUUAAUUUUUUAAUGACUCAUUCGGCGCCUUACGGGAAAC
rnacentral:rRNA from 1 species